rnacentral:tRNA from 1 species
GCCCGGUUAGCUCAGUGGCAGAGCGCGUCCUUGGUAAGGACGAGGCCGCGGGUUCAAUCCCCGCACCAGGCU